UAUGCGUGUGUGUACGCCACGAUCUUCGAAAGGUUCCUGCGAACUUUGACUCGAGUAGUGGAUACAUCAAACUUGUGUGGUUAGUUUAAUUCUUAGAGUGGCAUGAAAUGCUUGAAUUUGUCUAAAUAGAUACUUCGAGUGAUCCGAGAAGAUGAAUGUGGAUACCUAGCAUCUUCUAACGUACCUGGUUGACGGAACGCUUCCAACUACUUAAGUGGGGCGCCUUAAGGUUCGACAAAUGGUGCGUGAUUUCAUUGUUAAAGAUAACCCCCCCAAUAAAAUAUAUGCGCCUGGUCAUCAAGUCAAAGGGGAAGCGCACUAUCUUCAUGGAGUGUCACAAUAACUCUGGUACUGGGAACGAGAGCGACGUCGAGGGCACCCGCAACAGAGCCAUUUCUAGCUUCUCUCGGCCAACAAUGAUUCAGGACAUCAAUGAAUGGGCAUCGGCAUAGAUUUGCCUUCUGGACAGAGAAAGUGUCCCCUCUCCUUCAGGGAACUCUACAGCCUGUCUUCAGGGUUCCAAAGGCAACCCCUCUAUAUCUUACUAAACUUCAAUCAGACAG